AACGAACGCUGGCGGCAGGCUUAACACAUGCAAGUCGAACGCAUCCUUCGGGGUGAGUGGCAGACGGGUGAGUAACGCGUGGGAACGUGCCCUUCAGUUGGGAAUAACCCAGGGAAACUUGGGCUAAUACCGGAUACGUGCGAGAGCAGGAAGAUUUAUCGCUGAAGGAACGGCCCGAGUCUGAUUAGCGAGUUGGUGGGGUAAUGGACAAACAAGGCGACGAGCAGUAGCGGUCUGAGAGGAUGAUCAGCCACCUUGGGACUGAGCACACGGCCCAAACUCCUACGGGAGGCAGCAGUGGGGAAUAUUGGACAAUGGGCGCAAGCCUGAUCCAGCCAUGCCGCGUGAGUGAUGACGGCCUUAGGGUUGUAAAGCUCUUUCGUCCGGGACGAUAAUGACGGUACCGGAAGAAGAAGCCCCGGCUAACUUCGUGCCAGCCGCCGCCGUAA
rnacentral:rRNA from 1 species